rnacentral:piRNA from 1 species
UCAGAAAGAAUAGAUGGUAAGUAUCUUUUA